GUCACAUUGCUCCCUAGAGAAGACAGCAUUGUCUCCUCCCAAACCCCUCUUGCUGCCAUCAGUAAGUCAGUGAUGCUUCGUGUCCCCAACAGAUCUUAGCAGUAACUGAGAAAAUGCUCAUGGAAAUGCUUUGGAAAAGAACUCAGCCUGGCAGCUGCAGAAAACUCGGAAACCACACAGAUUUCUGCUGUUGGAGCCUCCAUCUCUGAGCAAGACCAGCUGGAAUUCUGAGAUCUGUUACCUCUUAUUUCUUCAUGACAUCUUUGGGGAUACAUACAGACCAAACCUUAAAACGAAGUCAAACAUCGUACUCUGGUUCACUUCUUUAUGUGAACAGCACGACUCAGCGGUGCUCAGCGCACAGUGGUGCUCAGCACACAGUCCGUCCCAGCAGAUGGAAGCCUCGGAACACUGGCAAUUCAGCACAAUGACAUCAGCAUGGCUAUUCUCCAGAACCAAACUGUCUGGCUCCAGAGCCAAAAUGUGAGUGUUCCAUUCUUGGAAGUGGGACUGUUCCCUUCCCUGUAGAUGCUGUGUCUAUGUCCCCUGUGUCUCAGGAGUAAUUGUUCAGUAGAGGGUAGCAUCUAGCCGUUUAUGUACUGCACCAUUUAUUGAACCCUGCACAUGGGUCUUCACUGAUGAAGACCUCAUGUUCUCAUCAUGGUCUUAAGUGCCUCAAACUCACACCUCUACAUGCUUGUUGAUUAAAUGAUGGAUGGAUGGAUGGAUGGAUGGAUGGAUGGAUACAAAAAUCCAUCCAUCAUUCUUAUCAGUGGAACAACAUAAAGCAAGGCUUACCAUGAACUGCAAUGUGAACUUGAUAAACAUGAUUUCUAUUCCACAUCGCUAUUAUCGGUUCAGGUACAGAUCUGACUCAAGUCUAGGCUGAUUGUGUGGAGACAUUUGUGUACUUUUCCAGAGCCAGAUGGUCCUGCCUUGAUUUAUCAACCAGGAAAUAGCCAAUGAUUGUGAAACCUCCCUGGACUUCUGAUAUUCUUAGAAAAAACAGGGGCAUGAGGCAACGGAAAGACAGACCAGAAGUUCUUUUAAAUGGCAUUGGUAAGGUUUUGGUAUAUUUUUCCAUUAUGUCUUCCUAUGAACAUAAAAUUUUUAUCCACGAUAUUGUUGUGAAAGUCCCAACCACAGUGGGCGUUCUAGCAAGUGGCUCCUUUCAUUUUUCCCAAUCAACAUUGAUAGUUGUGCUACCCAGCAAAGAGAUAAACAUGCAAAAGGCACCAUCUUCCCUGAUCUCAUGACACACGGUGACGUUGCAUAGCUGGGCUAUGACAACUGGCUCUGAAGUCACAUAACCAGGACACAACUUCCAUUCUGGCUUCACUAGCUAUGUGACAGUGAAUCCAGAUCUGUACCUUCUCAUAUUCUUGUACCAUGAAGUAUGAGAAAUGGCAGUAACCUUUAUAAUUUGAAGGUAUUGGGUGGCUAGAUGAGAUCAUACAAAUACCCAGUAGAAGAUGUGGUAAGCAAACGCUGACACCAUUGCAUACGCCAGUAAGAUUUUGCUGAAAGGACCCUCAUAUAGCUGUCUCUUGUGAGGCUACGCCGGUGCCUGGCAAACACAGAAAUGGAUGCUCACAGUCAGCUAUUGGAUGGAACACAGGGCCCCCAAUGGAGGAGCUGGAGAAAGUACCCAAGGAGCUAAAGAGGUCUGCAACCCUAUAGUUGGAACAACAAUAUGAACUAACCAGUACUCCCGGAGCUCAUAUCUCUAGCUGCAUAUGUAGCAGAAGUUGGCCUAGUUGGCCAUUAUUGGGAAGAGAGGCCCCUUGGUCUUGCCAACUUUAUAUGCCUCAGUACAGGGGAAUGCCAGGGCCAAGAAGUGGGAGUGGGUGGGUAGGGGAGUGGGUAGGUAGGGUAUGGGGGACUUUUGGGAUAGUAUUUGAAAUGUAAAUGAAGAAAAUACCUAAUGAAAAUUUUAAAAAUUGAAAAUAAAAGAAAAUGUGGUAAGCACCAAAAAGGUUA
rnacentral:lncRNA from 1 species